AGAGAGUGGGUGGGGGUGUGAGAGGAAGAAGGAGAGAGGGAGAAAGAGAUAGGUGAGAGAGAGAGGAAGGGGAAGGGAGAGAGAGGUAGAAAGAGGGAGGGAGAGCAGGAAGCACUUAGAGGAAAGAGGCUCUUAUUUUGACAGCGGGCAGCCUGAGCGGCUGGAGGAUCCUGUGUCUUUCCAGAUCCCGUAGCCCAGAGCCCAGGAAGGGGAGAAUCCUGCUAGAAGCUGUGAGGGGGAGCCCUGACUGACCCCCCCAGGUCCAUGUGCGCGGUGUGAGGAGGCCAGGUACAUGCCAGCCGUGCCCGGAGCCCGCAGGAAGGGGCCAGGAUGAGAGGGGGCUCCCGGCUGGCCCUGGUUGCGGCUCUCUCCCCCCCUCGGCUCCCGCGCUGCGGGUGUUAAGAGGGGGGAUCCAGAAAUCCGACACAGGAGGCCGGAGAAAGGAGGAGGACCAUGGGAGGCCGAGAAUCCUGAAGAAGGU